rnacentral:tRNA from 1 species
GGCCUCGUAGCUCAGUUGGCUAGAGCGUUGAAUGUACCAAAGCCUUACUCUUGCUGGCGUAGGUUCGAAUCCCACUGAAGCCG